CCAAACCUGGUUGAUCCUGCCAGUAGUCAUAUGCUUGUCUCAAAGAUUAAGCCAUGCAAGUCUCUGUAUAAGCAUUUAUACUGUGAAACUGCGGAAAGCUCAUUAUAUCAGUUAUAGUUUAUUUGAUGGUACCCUUACUACAUGGAUAACCGUAGUAAUUCUAGAGCUAAUACAUGCCCAGAAACGGCGACUUCG
rnacentral:rRNA from 1 species